rnacentral:lncRNA from 1 species
AUGACGAACACAAAGGGAAAGAGGAGAGGCCCCCCGUAUAUGUUCUCUAGGCCUUUUAGGAAACAUGGCAUUGUUCCUUUGGCCACAUACAUGCAAAUCUACAAGAAGGGUGAUAUUGUAGACAUCAAGGGAUCGGGCACUGUUCAAAAAGGAAUGCCCCAUAAGUGCUACCGGCAAAACCGGAAGAGUCUACAGUGUCACCCAGCAUGCCGUGGGCAUCAUUGUCAACAAGCAGGUUAAGGGCAAAAUUCUGGCCAAGAGGAUCAAUGUGUGAAUUGAGCACAUCAAACACUCAAAGAGCAGGGACAGCUUCCUGAAGCGGGUGAAGGAGAACGACCAGAAGAAAAAGGAAGCCAAAGAGAAGGGCACCUGGGUGCAGCUGAAGCGCCAGCCUGCACCACCCAGAGAAGCACACUUUGUGAGGACUAACGGAAAAGGGCCUGAGCUGUUGGAGGCCAUUCCAUACGAAUUCGUGGCCUAA